AUAGUAAACAAUUAUCUUCAUCUUCUCUGUCCGGAUCUUGAUUUCUUUUAAGAUCUGGGUAGAUUAGCGUAUCCUAUAUCAUAUGUAAGUAAAUAAAUUGCAUUUCAGCAAUGCAUAUUAUGUUUUUCUGUUUAUAUUUUCUAAUAAAUAUGGUAAAUUGUUGCCAUUGUUAUUUUCUACGCACUCUCGAAGUGGUUUGUGAUGGCCUUAAGGGUAUUUGUUGUUGGUGCAUUAAUGCUUGGAAGGAAUCAUCGAUCCCCAAUCAACUGCAUCAUCUGUUACCAUAUUCGGAUAUUAUGCAUGGAAAUAUUCUCGUAGUUGCUGAUCUAUUUUUAGAAGAUAGUUAUUCAUGGAAUGAAAAUCUUCUCCAAGAUUUAUUCUCUCAAAAUCGGUUAAGAGUGAUUCUGGGUAUUUAUAUGAAUGGUAAAGAUGAAAAUAAUUCCUUAAUCUGGACCCGACCAGUUAAUAGAAAAUACUCAACCAAAUCUUGUUAUAAGAUACAUGCAGAAAAUAUUCAGAUUUCUUCUUCUCUUAAUGAAUUCUUAUGGAGAAAGUUUUGGUCAUUUACUUUCAUUUCGCCUAAGAUUAUGUUGUUUAUGUGGAAAGUACUCCAUAAUGGCUUACCAGUUAAGCAUAUCAUGAAAAGAUUCAAUACUCAUAUUGAAUCUAUUUGUGUGUUGUGUAAGCAAGAUGUCCAUGAAGAAACAAUUGAACAUAUGUUCUUCAAUUGUCCUUGGGCUAAAAGAGUAUUCAUGUAUUCUACUUUGGAGUUUUGGAUGCAAAUGGAAGUGAAUAAUCCUAGAACUAUUAUCUUGAAAUGGAUUGGUGAUCAAGAAAUUCACAAAUUUCAUUAUGGAUCAGUGCUUAAAAAACAGUUAUGGAUUUCAGUUUUUGCCAUCUUGCAAUAUCAUGGAACAUAGGGGAUAAUCGGCCUAAUAUCAUCUAUCAGUAUUGGAAUCCUCCGGAAUUUGUCUACUGCAAGACUAACGUUGAUGCAGUAUUCAUCCCAAAUCAAGUUGAUGCAAGGGAAAUCACGUAGAAUCAUUUGGGUUUGUUUGAAGGUUGUGGUACAACUACUGUUGAUGCAACUUCGAAAGUUACGUCAGAGAUAAAGGUUGUCAUUCUUGGUUUGGUGUUGUCUAAGAGAUUGAACCUAACAAAGAUCAUUGUGGAGGGAGAUGCUUCAUAAGCAAGUGAAAUACUGUGGACAGCAAAAUCUUUGAUUCUCAGGAUUAAAGUAGAAUGGGUUGGUGGGACUAUGUUUCUCCACCCAUAUGUAUCUCUUCAAACCUCAAUUUAAUGAGGUAGUCUUAAUAAAGCUUAGGGAUACUCGAUCCCUUUAUCCUUCAAAAAAAAAAGAUAUCCUAGUUCUCCAUUAGUUUACGAAGAAGAGCCUACCGCCGUUACAGGUUAGGGUUUCUGUUUUAUCCUCUACUUAUCUUCUGUGAUAACGCACGUUCAAGAUCAUGAUUUUUAGUUUUUCUCGUUUUGUAAAAUUCAGCAUGAAGGCCAUGCUUAGUAAUUCUAUGAUCGUGAGUUUUUUUUUAUUGAA